GACCUACACUACAAAGAUCUGGGAGAACUCUAUUCCCAGAAGAGGGGAUGGCCAUCACAAAGGCCCCGAGCCAGGAAAGAGCUGGGAGUGUGUGAGAACAGCGAGAAGAGAUGGCUGGGGCCGAAAGAGUGAAAGGGAAGUUGGAGGACAAUGUGAGGUUGAGGAGGCUGCAGAGGUCACGUGACGGAGGGCUGCAGCAGCCACAGGAAGGAGCUCGGAGUUUACUGAUAUACAGGAGACAGAAGAACAUAACGAAGGACACCAAGUGCAACCAGCCAAAUCAGACAGCCAUAUGAGGUGCUAUCAGCCAGCCCGCCUCUUGAAGGAAUGAAUGAAGAAUGAAGUUGAGGCCCAAAGAAGGGAAUAAUUUGCCCAUAGUCAAUUCAACUGGUCUGUAACAGACCUGGGAUUUGAACUUAGACUGUCAGGCUUCAGAGUCAGUACUUCUCUUCCUCAAGACUGCAACACCCUCUGAUCAUUCAGUUAAGUUAUCCCAAGAUACUAAUUAGCACAUGAAUCAACUAAAAGUGGCUAUUAGCAUGUGGAUCUUUUUGAGUUGGUAAUUGUUGGUUGGUGUUCCUGCCCAAGUUUGUGAUUUAGCCCUGCUCCAGGACAGAGUUUACAGUCAGCAUAGAUUUACAGUUUGCACAUGAAUCAGCACAGGUUUGUGUUCACAGAGAUCGGAUUUCUGAUUAGCACUUGAGUCAACAGUGGUUUGUGUUAGGAGCUGGAAUCAUUAGGUUAAUGAUUAGCACACAGAUCUGCACAGAUAAUAGAUAGAUCACACAGAUAAUACAGGGAUUAUGUUCAAACCUAUGUACCCCCUUCUGGUCCAGGUGACUUCGUCCUCAAAUGUUGCCCUCAUCCCUUCACUGAACCUCCACUCCCAACCCCACCAUCACACACAGGCAGGCAGACCUGGUGAUUUCUUUGUCCCUGCCCUCUCCCCAAUCUUGUUCAUAAUGGAAUAUCACAGUGACAAACACAGGUCCAGAAACUACCUGUUCUCUUUCUGCCUUAUGAGGAGACAAAAUUCCAAAGCCUGGACUGUGCCUGAUUCACAGGUGUGUUCCCAGCACUGGGCCUGGCACAUAGUGAGGGCUCAAUAAAUGCUUGGGGGGAAAAAAGUGUUGGAUACUCACUAUCAUCUUUCAGCACUGACCUAGAGAUUUAUCAAAUCAAGCCAGAUUCACUUUGCCCUCAAAGGAGUCAAAUUUGUGAUCACCCACCCCAAAGGCCGGGACCAGGGUAGGUGGGUGGGUGGUCAGCGUGGGGCUGAGACAUCUCCCUGGAGCAGGAUUCGCUGUAGUGAAUGGAAGGAGAUCCCACAGCCUCUUCCUGCUGCUUCCCCCUGAGGUUGUGGAUCUGGUGGUGGUUGAUGUUGGGUCCAUUAUCAUCCAUACACUCUGCAUAACUACGAUGGCAGGAAGCUGCCCAGCCUGGGGAUAUGUUCUCAGCCCUCCUUGCAUCUGGGGUGGCUAUGUGAUUAGUUCUCUCCAAUAAAAUACGGGCAGAAGGGAGGUUUAUAGAGGGUCACUUCUGGGCCAAGCUUUUUAAGAAGCUGGUGAAACUUCUUUACCCUCUCUCCUCCCAUUUGCCAGGUGGAAGCAGAUAAUUUGGAGCCCCAGGAAAUGAUGGAGGCACAAGAUUAACCAGUCUGCUGUGUGAGUCACCAGAUGGAGGACAGAUGCCAACCAAGCAGGACACCUGUGGCAAGAAAUCAACUAUUGUGUGAAGUCACUGAAAUCAAGGGAGUUCUUUGUUACAGUAGCUGACAUUACACUUACUGAUACUCCGACCCUUCCUCUCUGGGCCCCUGAUAUCAAUAAACCUUGAGCACCCCCUGUCAUUCUGUGAAAUGAAACUCUAAUCCCCAAUUGUGGUGUUCCGGCUUUCACAUAGCGUUUUCAUACAGUGGCCCACUGGCUAUAUGUUUACUAAUUAAAACUCAUCGGUAUAUUCCACUCCAUUCUUUGCCCAAAUGUAAACUUGCCCCCAUGUUCUUAUGGAAGUCUUCUUCCACGUUGACAGGUGGAAGUCAUUAAAGCAGACCCUGAGCCUCACGUUAGGUCUUCCACCAUAGCUAAGCAGAACCUCAUACACAGGAUCUUGUGGUUGCCCUGUAGAAGUCAGUGCUUGCCUGGAACCCAUCAGUCUGAUUUACGGUGGUGGCUAGUGUAUAUGUUUGGGAGGGUGGGGAGUAUGCACUCGU